AUCACUGUGAGUCUGUACUUUCUUGCAUGGUUUUGCCGCCGGAAUGAACACGUUAUGGUGUGCUUUGUGCAGUGUUGGUAAUCGACUGACGUGGUGGAGUUUUCGAAACGUGGGAUGUUUGGUGCUGUAGAUGCUGGUGUUCUUUGCGGGUUUCAUGUUUUCGAUGCGAUCGGAUGAAAUUGGAUAUAUUCACCGAAUGUAGCCUUCGCUGUAAGGAGAGCUAGGUUCAGUAACUGCACCACUUAUGUCAAUCAAAAUAUGCGGCCCGUAAUUCAGAGCUAUCUAGGCAUCGUAGCUUCUUUCCUAUGCCCACCUCAUCCCUGUGGUGGAGUUAAGGGUCAUAGCAACAGUAGAAUUAGGGUUUUGGGAAUCUGGCAACAUAUUGUGGUAUUGAGUUGGCGUGUGAUUGGUAUAGCCUUGUUAUGCCCUUGACAAUAUGAACGUAAAACAUCAGGUUGGUUUGCAGUCCUUGCUGUGGUGAUUCACGAGCAGUGCAGAGCUCUGGGGAGAAUGACGUAUGGAUAUAGUUGUGUAUUGAAGUGAUAAUAGCCCUACCUGGACGUUGCGGAUGAAGAGUGGCUUUGCUGGAGUGCAUGUGUCGGUGAGGGAUUACGGCGAGGCUCGAUGUGCAGGUUCACACCAUCAGUUGGUGAGCGAUGGAGCAGUUGAUUUACUUGGGUCUACGUGGGCUUUCUUUUUAAUGCUGCUAUCCAGUCAAGAUUGCAUGCGAUGGAGGGAGUUUGGGUUUUGCUCGUUAGUUUUGGUGUUAGUCAUGCGGAGCAGUUGUGGCGACUGGUGUUCAUGUUGUGGGUUGUGUAGAAAAGUGCCAGUCAAAGGAUGAUCAAUGGUGACGGUGUAUGAUUUAGGGUGAUUCCAUGUGAAUUACUGCUUUGAGAUAUUGAGUGAUGGAUAUUGUCAUUUGGUAUUUGGUUUUCAAAUGAUACUGAAAUCGAUAGUUGCUAGGGAAUUUACGGUAUCAAAAAAUUAAAGGCAAUGUAUGUGGUAUGCUGGUGUUAAAACCUCUUGGUUGUACUUUUUGUGAAAUGCGGUUUGUGGGAGUGGUUCGAAUUGUAGAAGUUUUUAAAUUGAGAUCUGCACAUAGUAAGUUGUAACUUGUCCAAUUGAAUGGUGGG
rnacentral:lncRNA from 1 species